rnacentral:rRNA from 1 species
UAGGGAAUCUUCGGCAAUGGACGGAAGUCUGACCGAGCAACGCCGCGUGAGUGAAGAAGGUUUUCGGAUCGUAAAGCUCUGUUGUAAGAGAAGAACGAGUGUGAGAGUGGAAAGUUCACACUGUGACGGUAUCUUACCAGAAAGGGACGGCUAACUACGUGCCAGCAGCCGCGGUAAUACGUAGGUCCCGAGCGUUGUCCGGAUUUAUUGGGCGUAAAGCGAGCGCAGGCGGUUAGAUAAGUCUGAAGUUAAAGGCUGUGGCUUAACCAUAGUACGCUUUGGAAACUGUUUAACUUGAGUGCAAGAGGGGAGAGUGGAAUUCCAUGUGUAGCGGUGAAAUGCGUAGAUAUAUGGAGGAACACCGGUGGCGAAAGCGGCUCUCUGGCUUGUAACUGACGCUGAGGCUCGAAAGCGUGGGGAGCAAACAGGAUUAGAUACCCUGGUAGUCCACGCCGUAAACGAUGAGUGCUAGGUGUUAGACCCCUUCCGGGGUUUAGUGCCGCAGCUAACGCAUUAAGCACUCCGCCUGGGGAGUACGACCGCAAGGUUG